GAAAGUGGAAGGGAAAGAGGAUAUCCAGACCGUCUCCCAGGUUCUUGGAGUGCUCCUGCAGCUCCUGGAUCUUGUUGGAUAUGGCGUUCUGUGCCGGGUGCGGCAGAGUCCUGGCAGAGGCCGACAGAACCACCAGAGGGUCCAGCCAGGCUUGGAGCAGAGAGCGAGCCAGAGACAACAGCCCAUACAUGUGUGCGUACAUAGUGUGCUCACAUGCACACACAUGUACACACACGCACACACAGCUGUAAAGCGGAGCUACACACCCCCUUUUCAAGGAGAGAGAGAGCACACUCAGCUCACAGGACCCUGAAAGCCCACUCUGGUGAUUCCUGCACACACUGAGACUCCAGACCAGGACCGAGACGUCCCACCUGCACCUGUACAUCGGACACGCAACCCUCAACGCACGCACGCACAGCAGCACCGCAGUCAUGUCGGACUCUGAGACCGCCGCCGCCCCCGCCGAGGCCCCCGUCCCUGCCGCUUGUGCCAGCAUCAAGGCCGACCUGGACAAAUGUGUGGCAGAGAAGGGAGCCGAGGGCUGCAAGGAUCUGAUGGAGGCCUUCGCUGCUUGUGUGAAGAGCGCAGCAGAGGCGACGUCGUGAGGAAGUUGCUCUACAACUUCCGAUGUCCCUCAAUUUGGUCCACUGCACUGAGUCCUCCAAGUUCCCAGCAUUCCCUUCUGCACAACAGCACUGGACUGAACGAAAACAACAAUGACGCUGAUGCUGAUGAUGAUAGUGAUGCACAUGGUGUUUGGGAUCUGGCAGCAGUAAACCAGUUUCCUCCUCUGUCUUUAAACUUACCCCGUGUUCCUCAGUCUUACCCCUCUGUCCCCCCCCACCCUUCUCCUCCAUGGGUGACAUUUCCAGAGAGCCGAUGGGCUGUGAUGUAAAUUGUCGACUUGAAAUGAAAUCUUAUAAAUGGAAAUAAAAGUGAAUAUUGAUAUAAA